AAUGUCGGCCGUAACUAUAACGGUCCUAAGGUAGCGAAAUUCCUUGUCGGGUAAGUUCCGACCUGCACGAAUGGUGCAACGAUCUGGGCACUGUCUCAACCAUGAUCUCGGUGAAAUUGUAGUAUCGGUGAAGAUGCCGGUUACCCGCAGUGGGACGAAAAGACCCCGUGCACCUUUACUAUAGCUUCACAUUGAUAUUGGGUAAUUCAUGUGUAGGAUAGGUUGGAGACUUUGAGGCUGCGUCGCUAGGCGUAGAUUAGUCGUCCUUGAAAUACAACCCUUGGAUUAUCUGAUGUCUAACCCGUCUGAGACGGGGACAUUGUGUGGUGGGUAGUUUGACUGGGGUGGUCGCCUCCAAAAGAGUAACGGAGGCUCCUAAAG
rnacentral:rRNA from 14 species